GACAUGCGGCCCAGCCUGUGAGCACACCAGUACCCCCUGCAGAGGGAUGUGACCACAGCUUCAGUUCCUAUACCUGACAUGAUUUCUAGCUGUCACUGGUGUAACUCCAGUGUUAAUUUAAAGUUGCUGGUAGAGUGGCAGGGAAGGGGGCAUCACUGCAGGGAAGAAAGAAGAUUCAGCACAGUUUUUCCUUCCGGGAGUAACACAAAAAGAUGCUUGGGGCUACUAACUCAUGAGCAAGCCACUAAAAGCUACCAAUGGGAGAAGCAGCUGGUUCUGAGAUCUGUGCCCCUGAGAAUUUGCCUGUGACUUGUUGAUCAUCAUAGCGAAGCAGAUGUUUACAGUUACAUUGUUUGGAGGAAAAAUAACGGUUACCUGGGAUGUGCACACUUUGUUGAAGCUGACAAAGAUGGCAGUGUGGAGGAAGCAGCAGAAGGCCAGGUCUUGAUAGUAUGCUGCAGAUACAACUGUUAGCAGCAAUAUCUGAGGGAUUUGAAGAUUGUUCAAACUAGUGGAUCACUUCUGCUGAAAAGACAUGCUUCUUUUCCAUUGGCUUUCCCUUUAAACCAAAUUCUGUAAUAUACCUCUCAAACUUACCUAUAAU